UACAGGGGGUGCAAACGUUGCUCGGAAUCAUUGGGCGUAAAGCGCACGUAGGCGGUUCGUUAUGUCGGAUGUGAAAGCCCUUGGCUUAACCGAGGAAGUGCAUCCGAAACUGGCGAGCUAGAGUACGAAAGAGGAUCGCGGAAUUCCCGGUGUAGAGGUGAAAUUCGUAGAUAUCGGGAGGAACACCGGUGGCAAAGGCGGCGAUCUGGGUCGAUACUGACGCUGAGGUGCGAAAGCGUGGGGAGCAAACAGG
rnacentral:rRNA from 1 species